rnacentral:rRNA from 1 species
UACGAAGGGGGCUAGCGUUGCUCGGAAUCACUGGGCGUAAAGCGCACGUAGGCGGAUUGCUAAGUCAGGGGUGAAAUCCUGGAGCUCAACUCCAGAACUGCCCUUGAUACUGGCGGUCUCGAGUCCGGGAGAGGUGAGUGGAACUGCGAGUGUAGAGGUGAAAUUCGUAGAUAUUCGCAAGAACACCAGUGGCGAAGGCGGCUCACUGGCCCGGUACUGACGCUGAGGUGCGAAAGCGUGGGGAGCAACAGGG